UACGAAGGGGGCUAGCGUUGCUCGGAAUCACUGGGCGUAAAGGGUGCGUAGGCGGCCCUUUAAGUCAGGUGUGAAAUCCUGGAGCUCAACUCCAGAACUGCCUUUGAUACUGAAGAUCUUGAGUUCGGGAGAGGUGAGUGGAACUGCGAGUGUAGAGGUGAAAUUCGUAGAUAUUCGCAAGAACACCAGUGGCGAAGGCGGCUCACUGGCCCGGUACUGACGCUGAGGUGCGAAAGCGUGGGGAGCAAACAGG
rnacentral:rRNA from 1 species